CGGCCGUCCAUUCGCGUGUCGGCAUCGUCCAAAGCGAAAACCUCGGUGCUCUGAAGAUAUUUUUACCGCAAAAUAUACCUUCCGUAGGGAAAACCGCGAGGAACAAAGAAUGUACAAUAAAGAACUCGUCUCUGGAUUCAUGCAUGCCUCCGCCGAACGUGCUGACGCACAUGUUCCCAACGUUAACGUGAGGGCUGUUCUUGGAACUCAGCGUCAACAGCACGCGGGUUCGAUUCCCGCGCACGGUGGCCGCGUCCCCGUAUAUGUCCUAUAGAAACUUCGAUGACUCCUUUGAACGGGCAGAUGAGUUUGCACGUUCCAGGAAAAAAAAAAAAAGGGAAACACCUUCAAUGCCAGAAAAAUAGUUCGGCAAAACAUUCCAAGAUAUGACGGAUAUGUAGAAAAGUAAAUAAUGCUAUACGUAAAAGCACUCCCAUUCGUCGUAUGCACCUGCACUGCCAACACGUAAGUUAUUAUUAUU